UCUGGGUCUCGGCUUCCUGUUGAGAGGUAGAAUACACAAGAGAAGGAAAGGAAGUCAGUCUGGGUCUCGGCUUCCUGUUGAGAGGUAGAAUACACAAGAGAAGGAAAGGAAGUCAGUCUGGGUCUCGGCUUCCUGUUGAGAGGUAGAAUACACAAGAGAAGGAAAGGAAGUCAGUCUGGGUCUCGGCUUCCUGUUGAGAGGUAGAAUACACAAGAGAAGGAAAGGAAGUCAGUCUGGGUCUCGGCUUCCUGUUGAGAGGUAGAAUACACAAGAGAAGGAAAGGAAGUCAGUCUGGGUCUCGGCUUCCUGUUGAGAGGUAGAAUACACAAGAGAAGGAAAGGAAGUCAGUCUGGGUCUCGGCUUCCUGUUGAGAGGUAGAAUACACAAGAGAAGGAAAGGAAGUCAGUCUGGGUCUCGGCUUCCUGUUGAGAGGUAGAAUACACAAGAGAAGGAAAGGAAGUCAGUCUGGGUCUCGGCUUCCUGUUGAGAGGUAGAAUACACAAGAGAAGGAAAGGAAGUCAGUCUGGGUCUCGGCUUCCUGUUGAGAGGUAGAAUACACAAGAGAAGGAAAGGAAGUCAGUCUGGGUCUCGGCUUCCUGUUGAGAGGUAGAAUACACAAGAGAAGGAAAGGAAGUCAGUCUGGGUCUCGGCUUCCUGUUGAGAGGUAGAAUACACAAGAGAAGGAAAGGAAGUCAGUCUGGGUCUCGGCUUCCUGUUGAGAGGUAGAAUACACAAGAGAAGGAAAGGAAGUCAGUCUGGGUCUCGGCUUCCUGUUGAGAGGUAGAAUACACAAGAGAAGGAAAGGAAGUCAGUCUGGGUCUCGGCUUCCUGUUGAGAGGUAGAAUACACAAGAGAAGGAAAGGAAGUCAGUCUGGGUCUCGGCUUCCUGUUGAGAGGUAGAAUACACAAGAGAAGGAAAGGAAGUCAGUCUGGGUCUCGGCUUCCUGUUGAGAGGUAGAAUACACAAGAGAAGGAAAGGAAGUCAGUCUGGGUCUCGGCUUCCUGUUGAGAGGUAGAAUACACAAGAGAAGGAAAGGAAGUCAGUCUGGGUCUCGGCUUCCUGUUGAGAGGUAGAAUACA